AUACGAGGGGUGCAAGCGUUAAUCGGAAUUACUGGGCGUAAAGCGUUCGUAGGCGGUUUGUUAAGCAAGAUGUGAAAGCCCUGGGCUCAACCUGGGAACUGCAUUUUGAACUGGCAAGCUAGAAUACUGUAGAGGGUGGUGGAAUUUCCAGGGUAGCGGUGAAAUGCGUAGAGAGUGGAAGGAACAUCAGUGGCGAAGGCGGCCACCUGGACAGAUAUUGACGCUGAGGAACGAAAGCGUGGGGAGCGAACAGGAUUAGAUACCCUAGUAGUCC
rnacentral:rRNA from 1 species